UUAUCUCCUAUAAAUUUGGGUAUUCUGAUUAACAUCUUACCGGAGGAACUGUGUUUCAUGUUUUCACUGCAGACUAGAGUGUAGCCACUCUUUUCAGCCUGCAAUAGGGUUAACAUAGCGAAUCUCCUCCUUUACAUUAAUUACAGCCUGCUGAUACAGGAAAGCCGCCUUCACACAUCCUGUGACUAUUGUGGUUUUCAGUAUCUUCUUGCUACAUACACUCUCUAUUGUUGCCACCUUCCAUCUCAGCAGUUGUGAUUCACCUGACCUGUUCAAAAUACUGUGUCUUUAUUUUAGAUUUCCUAAACCAGUGUGACAGAAUACUAAGCCCUUUUAAAACCUAUGGAUCCAGCUGAGAUUAACACUCACAUGCAGGCAUUAACACAAAGAGUAGAUUUGUUAACAAAUGGUUUAAACGCAUUAAAAGUGGAGAAUGAUAACCUUAAAGCAUACAUUAGGGAUGUAGUAGACAAAAGAACACCUAUAUAUGAACCCCAGGUUAGUCCUCCAGAUUGUUUCCAUGGAGACAGGACUCUCUACAGAGAGUUUAAAAAUGCAUGCCUGUUAUUGUUUGCUUUGAGACCUCAUACCUACCCAAACGAUAGGAUUAGAGUACUCACGACCAUAUCUUACCUUAGAGGUGAACCCCGUACAUGGGCAAACACUUACUUUGAGAAUAAUGAAGAGAUAUUGAAUUCUUUGGAUAAUUUUUUUGUCUCAAUGGAUCAAUUGUAUGAGGAUCCAUACAAACAGCUUACAGCUGAAAACGCCAUGCGUGGCCUUAAGCAAAAGAAGAGGGUAGUCGAAGACUACAUCACAGAAUUUAAAAAAAUGGGCAAAGGACUCUCAAUGGAACAAUCUGUCCCUUAGGAACCAGUUCAGACUCGGCCUCUCUGAGGGAAUAAAAGACGAGUUGUCUCGCACAGAUAUCCCAGAUACCUUAGAAGACCUCAUGUCACUUAGUAUUACAAUAGAUAGGCGCCUCAGGGAAAGGUACCAAGAAAAGACUGGGCAUGACUCUAACCCUAGGAAAACUUCCUACCCCACACAUGCCUCUUCCUUACACAAAAACACCCCUGAACCCAUGGACAUUGCCUUCAUCAAAGGUCCUCUGUCUCCUCAAGAGAAGCUCAGACGUCGUUCCAAUAAUCUAUGCCUGUACUGUGCCUCUGACGAACACACUGUGAAAGACUGCCCUUCUCUCCUAAAACAAAACAAGGUGGGAACAACUUCGUCUUCACGCCACCGCGAUAAUUGAUUCUGGUGCCACGGCUUCUUAUAUAGAUAAGGAAUUUUGCACUGUAAAUAAAAUACCACUGAUGCAGAAA